GUACGUAUGUGUUUUUCAUUCCUUUUUUUACUAUAGACAUAUUAUUUUCAGCUUCAAAGUCAAAUUUCAUUCAACAAGUUCAUCGGUAUCUACGUGAUUCGAACGUUAUUCAAAUGAUCCAUGGACGUAUUAAAAAUUGAGAGAUGAAGGAAAAAAUACUUUGACCGUGUUAAAGGUUCCCGUUCGAAGGCUAGUCAUUGUAAAUGACUAACCGUAAAAUUUAUUUGUACACUGGCAUCUUCAACGAUUCUAACAAUUCAUAAAUAAGAUGCUCUUCAAAAUAGCAGGAACGAUCCUUAGAUA
rnacentral:lncRNA from 1 species